UCAAUGGAGUGUGUCUUUGAGACUUGUGUUUAUUUUCAUUUUUUAGGUCCAGGACAUCGUUGACAGGUCAAAAUUGCUCUUACAAUGAGUUAACGCAAACUGCUGUUGUGUCUCCAAAUUGCCUGUUGUGUCUCCACAGAUUGUUUAAAACAGUUAAAUCACAAUUUGUGACAAGUUAAAAAAAAUAUUCAUCUUAACUAAGUUUCAACACCUGAGGUAAGACUUUGAUUUGUAUAAAGGAAGCAUCACUGCUACCCACAAUGAUUAUACUCAAUGAGCACUUAAUCUUUAUUUGAUAAAUGAUCUGCAUUUGAAGAAGUAUUAAUAACAUAAAAAAAUCUUAAUAAACUAGGUUAUGGCAACUAAAAAAAAGUUAGGUAAAGCAUGAUGGGGAUGGGAUAGUAUAGGUUUGUUUCUUCCUACUCCUUUUGUAGCAAUUAAUCAAAGUCUACUUGACAAUCAUUAUAUUUAAUGGAUUAGCAAUUGCUUGGAAUAAACCAAUUAAUCAAUCAAACAUUAAUUAGUACAAUAAUUAAACUUUCAUGCUUCCACCAGCACUAGACUCUAUUGAAAACAGCAUUGUAGAACUAUGCAAGAAGACACUCAAGCUAAUUUUGAAUCUUGUCAAACUAACGCAGAUGUUUUCCCAUUUUCAACAGCUCAAUAGGAUUGAAGCAUUAACUUCAAAUUGGGAAUAUAAAAACCCUCUGAAUGCUGCAUUAGGGUCUCUUUAAGAGGCUUAGGGAGACAAAGACAGUUGGGGCUGUAAACCCCUAUUACUGUAUCAUUGGUCGCAAUGCUUUGGACGGGGUGGCUCUGCUUCUUUUAGAGCUGAGCAUUCCAGUGGGGUCAGUGCUUAUCUUUGGGGGUGUUAGAAUGGGAGUUGAAGGGUGAUGAAGAAGGGUGUUCGCUGUAAUUAAAAGGAAAGAAAGCAGCAUAAGUCCUCCCUAAUCCUUUGUUCCUCUUCAAAUGCACAGGACCAGAAGCAAUGCGCCCCAACAAAAGAGCAUAUGAAGCGAGGAAGCCACAGCUCCUGCUGCCUCACUGUUGCACCGAAAGUGCUGACUGUGGUUUCGCCCCUUCACCAGUGCGUCCGUCUUGGAGCGGUCACCGCUGCCUCCACUUUGCUAAUCAGCCACACAACAUUUAACAUUUAAGAACUCCCCUCCAGCCUUUAGUAUCGGCUCAUUUUGUGUUCUAGCUAUGCUCUCCUUGCCUUUACUUUUUUUUAAUACACCUUUUGUUACAUCUUGGUUUGUGGUUCUUCCCUGCACCUGCUUGCCAAAGCGUGACAGAAAAUCUAUCUAUUUUCAUUUUGUUGUGAACCCAGAAAGUUAAAAACACAAGGAUUUACCUGAAAUCCAACAGGAUCCUAAA